UACAGAGGGUGCGAGCGUUAAUCGGAAUUACUGGGCGUAAAGCGCGCGUAGGCGGCUUUGCAAGUCGGGUGUGAAAUCCCCAGGCCUAACCUGGGAACUGCAUUCGAGACUGCAUGGCUAGAGUAUCGGAGAGGGAAGUGGAAUUUCAGGUGUAGCGGUGAAAUGCGUAGAUAUCUGAAGGAACAUCAGUGGCGAAAGCGACUUCCUGGACGAAUACUGACGCUCAUGUGCGAAAGCGUGGGGGAGCAAACAGG
rnacentral:rRNA from 1 species